rnacentral:misc_RNA from 1 species
UCACAAAGGAACAAUUAUUGAAAUCUAUAGAAUGAGUCGCAAGAAGAUGCAAAGACCGUGGCGGGUGGAUGAUUUUGAUGCUUUUAAAGAGAGAAUGUUAGGGUUUGGAGACAAAAAGCCUCAGCCACAUAAAAGAGCACUGCUUUUUGUUGACAACUCAGGUGCAGAUAUUGUUUUAGGGAUGCUUCCCCUUGCAAGGGAACUUCUCCGGCGUGGAACUGAAGUUGUACUGGUAGCGAACUCACUUCCUGCACUAAAUGAUGUUACUGCAAUGGAGUUGCCUGAUAUUGUUGCUGAGGCUGCAAAGCACUGUGAUAUUCUUCGAGGAGCAGCUGAAGCAGGAGGUUUGCUUGUUGACGCUAUGAGUAAUAUCCAAGAUGGUUACAAGGAAAAUACACCUUCCGUUCCUCUAAUGGUUGUGGAGAAUGGAUGUGGCAGUCCAUGCAUAGACUUGAGGCAAGUGAGCUCAGAGUUAGCAGCUGCAGCCAAAGAUGCAGAUCUGGUAAUUUUGGAAGGGAUGGGUCGGUCUUUGCAUACCAAUUAUAAUGCAAAGUUCAAAUGUGAUGCUCUCAAGCUUGCUAUGGUGAAGAAUCAGCGAUUGGCAGCAAAAUUGGUUAAAGGGAAUAUUUAUGAUUGUGUCUGUAGAUAUGAACCAGCUAGCUGAAAACUUCCCUUUUUCAUGUAGUUUCGAUUUAUCUCGUCUCUCAGAACUGUCAACCAUACUAGGUAAGCAGGUGUCCCGACAAAUACAAUUAUAAGAUGUAAACCUUCAGAAAUUGUAUUAUUGAACUGCCUAUGAGUCACUUCAUACUCGAGGGUUGCUCUGAAUAGGUUCUGUUACACAUUAAUCCUUCUACUGUAGAUUGUUUUAUUUUCUAGAUUCAAG